GCGCCGCCUCCGUCCUCGUCCUCGUCCUCGUCCUCGGCGGCUGUCCCCUUUGCUCCGGCAGAAGCCUCACAGGCUGCGGGGGCGCACGUGGCGGGGCGCGCGGCCGUGCGGGAGCUGCCCGCGAGGGGGCGCGCUUCCAGGGGAAGGGGCCGCGGCGCAGGUGACCCCACCCGCCGCGCGCACGCUCCGACCCGGGGGUGGGGCAGAGGCGGGAGAGCGGCGCGGCGUGGGCGCGGCGUGGGCGCGGGAGGGAGCUCCGCCGCGCCACGCACACGCUCGACGCCAGGGUCGCGCGAACAGGUCCGGUGGGCGGCGGCACGAGCGGACCCCAGGCCUCCGGCCUUCCCUUAGGGAGCCGGCGUCAGAAAAACAGAAGACGCGGGAAGCAUGGCCGCCCCACUAGCUCCAGAAUGACUCGCUACUGUCAGCUCACCCUUCAGAUUCUCCCCAGCUCACCACCUGCCAGUCAGGACCACAGCUCCUGAGCAGACGUGAUUUACAGACCUGUCAACCACCUCCCUGUCCACAGGCUAUCUGAGCGUGGCCUUCUCAAAUCUCCACCAGCCAACGUUUCCUGUGGAGGUCCCACUGCCUGGGAAUUUGACUCCCACUCUACCUGGCCAUCCCGAGUCCCCCACUCUCCCAGGUUCCUAUAAAGCCUCGAGAGAGAGUGGAUGCAUUUUAAAUGCUUACAGCCAGGGGCCGGGGAAGACAUCCUAUAAUGCUCCGACCUGGCUCCCCAUGACCAGUUGAGUCCUUCAGUGUAGCCAGUGCCAGGCCAGGGCAGGAGUCCUGGCCCAAGUGCGGACCCUGGCCACUUCCCGAUCAUAUCCUCCUGCACCGCCUGGGCCUGGCUCCCCGCCUUCUUUCUGCCCAGGGUCAGCCACUGAUGCCUUUUCCUGGAACUCUCCGCCUUCACAUCUGAUCUGUGCAAGAAAAGAUGAGAGAGCGUAAGCUCACCACUGAUUUGGACGGAAGCCCUGGUGACUAUUUAAAUGGAAACACAUUGAUAGCUCUGAAUAUUUCAUGCCAGGUACAUUAGAACAACCAGCAUUACUUAUUGAAGGCUGAUCACCCAUCAUGGGUAUUAAUACAUCUUGCUUCGGUGUCAGCCCCAGGGACAUUAGCUUCAAGGAACAAGGUAGGAGGCUUUGGGUACUUUUGCCUCAGGAAAUAAAUCUUGCGUGGAUGGAAGGUGUGGUCUAGUGGUGUCAUCCAACCUCCCUCUGGUUUGUCAAAACUUCUCUUUUUAAAAAAAAUAUUGUUAUUGAUUUCAGAGAGGGGGAGAGAGAUAGGAACAUCAAUGAUGAGAGAAUCAUUGAUCUGUUGCUGGGGAUCGAGCCCACAACCCGGCAUGUGCCCUGACCAGGAAUCGAACUGGCCACCUUUUGUUGUGUGGGACUACGCUCCAAACAACCAACCAAGCCAUACCAGCCAGGGCCCUUUAUUACUGAGAAUUAUGUGCCAGAUACAUUCAUUCCCUUUCUUAAGAUGGGAAAACAUGAAAUGACUUUCCCAAGGUCACGCACAAAGUGGGACUGAAACACAGAUCUGGGCCAUCCUUCUGACUGUGGUCCCAGGCACCCCUACACCUGGCAGUUGCCUGAAUUCCUGGCACGCGCAGGGGCUCCCUAAAUGUUCCUGAUGUGAAUAAUCCUUAAGUCUCUGUCUUCUGCCAUGAUUGCUCAGUCCAGUCUGAUGCCUACCACUAAUGCAGGACAUUCCAGUUAGUUGCCCCAAGGUCACUACCACUGAAUGUAUCUUCUCAUCCAACUAAAUGUCCCUCUUCCUCAACGGUUCCAUUUCUCCUCAUCAUACCACCAUUUUCUAGCCCCCAAGCUAACACUUCUACAGUUUGUACGUUAUCAUGCCUCAGCCCUCCCCUCCCCCACCCCAUACGUGAUCUGACAUCGAGUUGGAUGGCUCUUCUCUUUGAAGUGACUCUUGGGUUUCCAUCUGCUCCACCUCUCUGACCUUAGCUGUCCUCCCCUGAGCUCAUGACCAGCCUCCAGUCUCAGAGCCCGUCCUCUUGAGGACCCAUCUCCUCCCCUGUCUUCUUAGAUCCUUAACCACACACAUGCCCAAAUCCACAGAGCCUGAUGGUGGGCCACAUAGAUUGUAUUUUAUGAUGAAAUGAUAGGCUUGUUUAGGCUUGGGUUAGAUUGGAGUUGGAUCUGUCUCUUGUUUGUUUGGGGAAAGGAGAUUGGUGGUUGCAUGUCAGCAUGAAUAAAGUAUAAAGGCAUGCCCUCCAGAACUCAUCAUGCGACAAACUGCCCUGUUGCCCAGAUCAUAGCAUUCUGCCUUUUACCUGUGACCUCCCACCAUUUGCUCCAAGAAUCCAGUUCCUAUUAUUAUAAACAAAUAAAUAAAAAACCCUGCUGUUUCUGUG